AGCGAACGCUGGCGGCAGGCCUAACACAUGCAAGUCGAACGCCCCUUCGGGGAGUGGCGGACGGGUGAGUAACGCGUGGGAAUGUGCCCCUUGGUACGGAACAACCGAGGGAAACUUCAGCUAAUACCGUAUGUGCCCCACGGGGGAAAGAUUUAUUGCCAUUGGAGCAGCCCGCGUUGGAUUAGGUAGUUGGUGGGGUAAUGGCCCACCAAGCCGACGAUCCAUAGCUGGUCUGAGAGGAUGAUCAGCCACACUGGGACUGAGACACGGCCCAGACUCCUACGGGAGGCAGCAGUGGGGAAUCUUGCGCAAUGGGCGAAAGCCUGACGCAGCCAUGCCGCGUGAAUGAUGAAGGUCUUAGGAUUGUAAAAUUCUUUCACCGGGGAAGAUAAUGACGGUACCCGGAGAAGAAGCCCCGGCUAACUUCGUG
rnacentral:rRNA from 1 species